rnacentral:rRNA from 1 species
AUUGAACGCUGGCGGCAGGCUUAACACGUGCAAGUCGAGCGGGGGGAGGUAGCUUGCUACCGGACCUAGCGGCGGACGGGUGAGUAAUGCUUAGGAAUCUGCCUAUUAGUGGGGGACAACAUCUCGAAAGGGAUGCUAAUACCGCAUACGUCCUACGGGAGAAAGCAGGGGAUCUUCGGACCUUGCGCUAAUAGAUGAGCCUAAGUCGGAUUAGCUAGUUGGUGGGGUAAAGGCCUACCAAGGCGACGAUCUGUAGCGGGUCUGAGAGGAUGAUCCGCCACACUGGGACUGAGACACGGCCCAGACUCCUACGGGAGGCAGCAGUGGGGAAUAUUGGACGAUGGGGGGAACCCUGAUCCAGCCAUGCCGCGUGUGUGAAGAAGGCCUUAUGGUUGUAAAGCACUUUAAGCGAGGAGGAGGCUACUUUAGUUAAUACCUAGAGAUAGUGGACGUUACUCGCAGAAUAAGCACCGGCUAACUCUGUGCCAGCAGCCGCAGUAA